rnacentral:lncRNA from 1 species
AUCAGUUUCCGAACCAACUGAAGCAUGAGUAGCAACCCUGCAAGGAAGCAUCAGUUUCUGAACCAACUGAAGCAUGAGCAACCCUGCAAGGAAGCAGCAGAACAGUGAAUUCAACAAGGUCAUAUAAUGUUUCUUUCAACAUAUUAUAGUGUUUCAUUCAACAUACUCAAAUUCUAAAAGCAGUUGCCAAUGUACAAUGUAUUGUAGUUUACAGUACGAACCAAACAAAUGCCGCAUUUCAGUUGUGGAAUACAGUACAAUGAAUUGUAGUGAGUUGGAACUAAACAGCACAACAAAAAGCGAUGGGUAGUCAAUACUAGUAUAGCUACAAUAGCACUAAACUUUAUUGCUAACAAAAGGUAACAAUGCUAUUAGUAAACUUAAUACUGCUGUGUUUCAGCUUAUAAACUGAAGUC